UACGAAGGGGGCUAGCGUUGCUCGGAAUUACUGGGCGUAAAGCGCACGUAGGCGGCUUUCUAAGUCGGGGGUGAAAUCCUGGAGCUCAACUCCAGAACUGCCUUCGAUACUGGAAGACUUGAGUCCGGGAGAGGUGAGUGGAACUGCGAGUGUAGAGGUGAAAUUCGUAGAUAUUCGCAAGAACACCAGUGGCGAAGGCGGCUCACUGGCCCGGUACUGACGCUCAGGCGCGACAGCGUGGGGAUCAAACAGG
rnacentral:rRNA from 1 species